CUGGCUGGGACCGUUUGGCAGCUGUCAGGGCGUCCUCCUGAGUCAGAAUCCGACCAUCCUGCCGCAGACGUUGCGCCCGGCUCGGUUUCCGCCCUCUGCCGCCGACUUCCUCAUUCACCCUCCGCCCCCGGUCGGGCCGAGGCAGGGGCGGGGAGAGGUGCAGUGGGUGCCGGGGAGAGGGACCUGACGGCGGCCACCGGGCUGAGAGGCUGGAAAGACCAGCCCUCCUCCAGCUCCUCGGCCUUUGGGUUCUAUUGCCCUGGGGAGAAGGGCCCGGCGUGCUGGCCGCGGUCGGGCUGCCCAGGCGUGCACCUGAUCCCACAGCCAUCCCGCCUCGCCCGGGGGAGGGACCGGAGGGUGGGAGGUGGCCCAGUCUUCAGGACCGGUCUUGGACUUCUGCAUCUUUCCACUUUGGGCCAGAUGUGGGGGUCCUCCGCCAACCCCUGUCCUCUGGCGGGGGUCCUCACCCCAGCCCGUCCUGACCACGCCUAGGGCAGGACUGCAGCCCCUCGUCCCCGUCCAUCCCUGGAAGGGACAGGGGCAGUUUCAAAACGGAAGCGGAGCGUGUCUCCUCCAGGCCGGGCUUGCUGGCUGUCCGGAACAUGGGACACUGGUUUCACAGUAACCGUUGAGUAACUUUUGAAGGGGAAGAGAGUCUUAGCUCCUCCUGCGUUGCAACACAGUGAUAAUUUCUGACUUCACUCUCAUAGUGUGGGCUUGAUAACUUCACCUGAUGGUUUAUUCUCAUUUCGGUCUCCUGGAGGAGGCCUCUGUCCUUAGGAAGUUGCAGUCUGCAAGGAGAAACAGUGACAGUGACUUCAGUACAAAGGCAUCCUGUGAUAUGUGUCCCAGGCAUGUCACAGACAAAGGACUGGAAUUUCAAGGCUGUUGAAAUCCCUACCGUUGAGGCAAGGAGAGGAGCUGCCAGCAGAAAGAAAGGAGCGCAUUGCAGGGGUCGGAGAUGGGAGAACUUCUCUCUUGCAGGAUGAAAGACACAUGUUAAUCACAGCUUGGCUUUGGCCUGCUCUUGCUCCAGAAAAAACAACAAGGAUCUGUUAGCUCUUAAAAGGAAGAAAAGCACACUCAAAAACUGCAGCAUUGUUGUGUAGCCUGGUUAGGGUAUUACUAGAAACCAGGCUGCCUGAGCUGUCUUCACUUCCUCUUCUAGCUAAUCCUUCAAUAAAGUACUUAAGACAGCCCCUACCAGCUUGACAUCUUUAUUUCAAAAGGAGAGGAGGGGUUGGCUGCUGUUUUCCUC